AUACGGAGGGGGCUAGCGUUGUUCGGAAUCACUGGGCGUAAAGCGCGCGUAGGCGGCCGGACAAGUUGGGCGUGAAAGCCCGGGGCUCAACCCCGGAACUGCGCUCAAAACUGUCCGGCUCGAGUCCGGGAGAGGAGAGUGGAAUUCCCAGUGUAGAGGUGAAAUUCGUAGAUAUUGGGAAGAACACCGGUGGCGAAGGCGGCUCUCUGGCCCGGUACUGACGCUGAGGUGCGAAAGCGUGGGGAGCAAACAGGAUUAGAAACCCUAGUAGUCC
rnacentral:rRNA from 1 species